UAAAAUUUACUUGUUGUGGGGCUCGAGGAAUCCAUACGGCCAACGAGAGUACAAAUGUAUCCAGUCCGUCUUCGUUUGCCAAGGUUCCAGUGGAUUUCGCCAUCGUGUCCAGUACCUGGCAUACCUCAACAUAUCGUCAACAUGGCGCAAGAUUGAGGUCGACCUUGACUACAACGUGACUGGAGUAGACGGGAAAGCCAUAACUGAGGUCGCCUCUUGGG